ACUGGGCGUAAGCGCACGCAGGCGGUCUGUCAAGUCGGAUGUGAAAUCCCCGGGCUCAACCUGGGAACUGCAUUCGAAACUGGCAGGCUAGAGUCUUGUAGAGGGGGGUAGAAUUCCAGGUGUAGCGGUGAAAUGCGUAGAGAUCUGGAGGAAUACCGGUGGCGAAGGCGGCCCCCUGGACAAAGACUGACGCUCAGGUGCGAAAGCGUGGGGAGCAAACAGGAUUAGAUACCCUGGUAGUCCACGCCGUAAACGAUGUCGACUUGGAGGUUGUGCCCUUGAGGCGUGGCUUCCGGAGCUAACGCGUUAAGUCGACCGCCUGGGGAGUACGGCCGCAAGGUUAAAACUCAAAUGAAUUGACGGGGGCCCGCACAAGCGGUGGAGCAUGUGGUUUAAUUCGAUGCAACGCGAAGAACCUUACCUACUCUUGACAUCCAGAGAACUUUCCAGAGAUGGAUUGGUGCCUUCGGGAACUCUGAGACAGGUGCUGCAUGGCUGUCGUCAGCUCGUGUUGUGAAAUGUUGGGUUAAGUCCCGCAACGAGCGCAACCCUUAUCCUUUGUUGCCAGCGGUUAGGCCGGGAACUCAAAGGAGACUGCCAGUGAUAAA
rnacentral:rRNA from 1 species